rnacentral:rRNA from 1 species
AACGAACGCUGGCGGCAGGCUUAACACAUGCAAGUCGAGCGAAGACUUCGGUCUUAGCGGCGGACGGGUGAGUAACGCGUGGGAACGUGCCCUUCUCUACGGAACAGUCCUGGGAAACUGGGUUUAAUACCGUAUACGCCCUUUUGGGGAAAGAUUUAUCGGAGAUGGAUGAGCCCGCGUUGGAUUAGCUAGUUGGUGGGGUAAAGGCCUACCAAGGCGACGAUCCAUAGCUGGUCUAAGAGGAUGAUCAGCCACAUUGGGACUGAGACACGGCCCAAACUCCUACGGGAGGCAGCAGUGGGGAAUAUUGGACAAUGGGCGCAAGCCUGAUCCAGCCAUGCCGCGUGAGUGAUGAAGGCCCUAGGGUUGUAAAGCUCUUUCAGUGGGGACGAUAAUGACGGUACCCACAGAAGAAGCCCCGGCUAACUUCGUGCCAGCCGCCG